CCCUUGUGUUAUCCCUGUUCUAGAGGUGAGGAGACGGAGGUAUGAAGUGAUUAAAUAAGUUCCUCAAGCUGCAUGGCCUAGGAGUGGUAGCGUUAGAGUUGUGAUCUGAUCAGAGAGCAGAGCUUGGAUGCCCAAGCCCUUGGCAGGGUUUAUUGGUGGCAGGAGGGCCAUUUGGUGCCAGCUGUAACUGCAGAGCUUAGUACUGCCCGAAGGAUGGCACACUUGUCUGUGCCCCUGUCUGCCCGCCUCCUGGAAGGCUGUGAAGCUUCUUUCAGCUCUGUUGCAACUCCCAGGAACCAGCCAGAACAGGAGGCAGCCAGAGAGACCAGUGCCAGGAAGAAUGUGGCUGCUGUCCUGGAAGGAGAGGACCCACUAGGAAGAACAGAACCCGGCCGGCUCAGCCCCUGAGGCUCACUCUCUCCAGGGACCUGGCCUCGGGCCCUAGUAGCCCACCUCCUACCACUGUGGGCCAUCACCAGCCCACUUCAGAAAAAGGUCAUUAAACCAGAUACUGCCCGCUUCCAAAUAAAUGAGAGCUUCAAGUAAAAGUAAGUGAGAAGCACCUUAGUCCCUACCACCACCCUGGCAAGCAAGGCUGAAGAUGUGUUUCCUUCUGUAUUUCAUCUAUCUGAAGGGGUCACCCUGGGGACUUGGGUAUUCAGAUGACGGUCUCCUUGAGGAACUAGAGGAAGAAUGUCCAAGGCCUGCUUUGGACAGAGAGGAUCCUGGACCCCCAGUUGCUGAAUAGAAGAAGUAAGGUCUGGGGUCAGGGCUGCCAUCCUAGGUUAGAGGGAGCUGGGGUAGGUGGGGUGGUUGGGACAGGUGUGGCCUGCUCCAGGCUUAGGGAGGUUCAGAUAGGUACAAUUAACCCAUAAAGUCCUUU
rnacentral:lncRNA from 1 species